UGGUGCUAAUCCACUGCAAGCUCACUGUCGCUCAAACAAGCGAUUACGGAGAUCACGGAGCUCAAGACGGAAGCACUGCGCCUGGGGUAUCCGGCUUUGCAGUAGACGACAACGAGAACUGGGUCCUGAACUCCACUGCGAAAACUCUCGAUGAACUGAUACAAGAGGGUCCCCCGCACGACGCAGGCAACCUCGGCAGGGCCCUCGGUCGCGAAAAGGCGACUGCCCUGCCUCCCAAGCGUCGUGGAGGCGGCCAGGCUGGCGGCCAGGCUGGCAGGGAGG